rnacentral:rRNA from 1 species
UGGCUCAGAACGAACGCUGGCGGCGCGCCUAACACAUGCAAGUCGAGCGAGAAAGUGGGGCAACCCUGAGUACAGUGGCGUACGGGUGAGUAACACGUGGAUUAUCUACCUUUUAGUGGGGAAUACCCCUGGGAAACCGGGGACAAUACCGCAUAAGCCCGCAAGGGGAAAGCAGCAAUGCGCUGAAAGAGGAGUCCGCGGCUGAUUAGCUAGUUGGUGAGGUAAUGGCCCACCAAGGCGAAGAUCGGUAGCCGGCCUGAGAGGGCACACGGCCACACUGGCACUGAAAUACGGGCCAGACGGUUACGGGAGGCAGCAGUGG